rnacentral:rRNA from 1 species
AACGAACGCUGGCGGCAGGCCUAACACAUGCCAGUCGAGCGCGCCCUUCGGGGUGAGCGGCGGACGGGUGAGUAACGCGUGGGAACGUGCCCUUCUCUGCGGAAUAGCCUCGGGAAACUGAGAGUAAUACCGCAUACGCCCUUUGGGGGAAAGAUUUAUCGGAGAAGGAUCGGCCCGCGUUGGAUUAGGUAGUUGGUGGGGUAAUGGCCCACCAAGCCGACGAUCCAUAGCUGGUUUGAGAGGAUGAUCAGCCACACUGGGACUGAGACACGGCCCAGCCUCCUACGGGAGGCAGCAGUGGGGAAUCUUAGACAAUGGGGGCAACCCUGAUCUAGCCAUGCCGCGUGAGUGAUGAAGGCCUUAGGGUUGUAAAGCUCUUUCAGCUGGGAAGAUAAUGACGGUACCAGCAGAAGAAGCCCCGGCUAACUCCGUG